UAGUGAGUUUGUAUCCUGGCUCAGAACGAACGCUGGCGGCAUGCCUAACACAUGCAAGUCGAACGAAGCCUUCGGGCUUAGUGGCGCACGGGUGCGUGACGCGUGGGAAUCUGCCCUUGGGUACGGAAUAACAGUGAGAAAUUACUGCGUAAUACCGUAUGAUGUCUUCGGACCAAAGAUUUAUCGCCCAGGGAUGAGCCCGCGUAGGAUUAGCUAGUUGGUGAGGUAAAGGCUCACCAAGGCUACGAUCCUUAGCUGGUCUGAGAGGAUGAUCAGCCACACUGGGACUGAGACACGGCCCAGACUCCUAC
rnacentral:rRNA from 1 species